UCUCUCUCUUUCUCUACCUCUCUCUUCCUCUUCCUCUUCCUCUUUCUUUUGUCUCUCUUUCUCUGAUAUCGUUCUUCUGAUGAUUUCCGAGCAGAUGAACAUGAUGUUGAUGACGAUGAUGAACACGUUUGCUGAUGAUAUCAUGAUGUUGAUUUUGAACCGUUGAUGGUUGUUGCUAAGGGUUACGGUCGAGAAAUUGAUGAUGAUGUUGGUGACGCUCAAAGUCACAGCAAAUCGGUGAGAUCUUUCUUUGUUUAUCGUGUUUUAAGUUCUCUAAUCUCUCUUCUUCUCUCAAUAUUUUCUGAAGGGUUUGUGUAAAAAAUGAGGAAGAUGAUGAUAAAAUAGGGUUUCAUGAAUGUUUGUGUUGUAUCCUAUUUACUGAAUAUGAACUGAGUUCUUUUUCUUUCUUCUCAUUGUUUUUGGAAAAUUUAUAUACAUGAGGAUGAUGAUGAUGGAAUUUUAGGGUUUUGGUUAUGUAUUCUGCUGCUGUGAAAAAAUGUGAAUCAGAUUCUCUUUACUGUGAACCAAAGUUUAUUUGUGAUUUAUAGUAAAGAUUAGGCCCAUGAUUUGAAUCAUUCCCCUUAAAAAUUCUGAUUCCUUUACAUAAACCCUAAUGAUGAAUUGUGAAUCUUCUAUUGUUGUUGUUUGGAACUUAAUUGAAUUUCAUGUUUGUGUUUUUUUUUGCAGAGUGACUGUGGAUAAUUCUUCAAGUAGAACAACCACUUUGAUAAAGCUUUGAAAUUUAAACGUUAUAAGGAAUACGAAGCUGCAAAAAAUACGAAACAAAUUGUUUCGGUAGCUUCUGUUAGCUUUUUGAAGGUCUUCACUUCAUUUGAAACAUAAAGAGAUGUGUUGCAUUGCAGGUAGCAGCACCUUCAUUAGGGCUUCAAGCCCACUUCCUAUGAAAUCAGAUUUUAGAUUUUUCAAUCAACUUAAGAUUGGUGAAAGAAAAGAUUAAGAUAGUACUACUGUAAGAGAACUCAGCAGAGAGUGGCCUGGAAGUGCAUAUGAUAUGUUGUCCAAAAUCUGCAACCACUUUUGUGGUGAAUUGUGUGAAAUGUCUUUCCGAUGCUGGUUGGAGAUGGUUGUAUGCUGAUGUGGGACUUCUUGCUUUUGGCAUAUGAAAAUGACAUGUGUGGCUGUUGCCUGUUUGUAGGUUGUGAACAUUCUUAGUGGUGCAUUGAAAUUAUGAAGGCAACCCAAUUAUGAAUCUAGAAUUGGAUUUAAUAUCAACUUGAAAUUUAAAUUAUAAAUCUAGAACUAGCUCAUGUCUAUCAAACAGACUUGUGAAGUGAGGUUGUGAAAAGCAGUUUAGAAAUCAACCAAGUUACUAUCGCAAUGCAGGAUCAACUUUGCAGCAAUAAGGACAUUUGCAUGACCUUAUAUACUGUUAAAAUUUGUCAAACAAAUCCGGUUCAGGAGAUUUAGAGGUAACUGUACAAAUGUGGAAAGUCCAUUAAGGAGAGAUAGAGGUAGCUAUGCAGGCAACCGAGAAUCAAACCUUAGGACAAACCCAGAAAGGAAAUCCCGCCUCUGUCAUGCAAUCAACAGCCGCAGUAAACACAGCUGUCGAUCUUCUCAACUACGACGACAUCUCAGACAUUUCCAGAAACCAAGGUGUGAGCAUCUCCGAAACUGAAGUUCGUGGAAACCGUGUGAUCACUAAGUCGGUUGGGUCACAAGUUGUAUGACAGUUUGUUGAACCUGAUGUGCCAAUGAACGGUCUUGGUUUCUUGGAUUGUGACUAUAUUCCUACUGGUACAUCAUGUACUUGAAUUGUGGUUUAAUCAAUUAUUUGUUCCUAAAAAAAGGCAUUACCUGCCUAUUCUAGAUAAAAUCUUGGAAUUAUUUGAAUUGUGGUUUAAUCAAUUAUUAGAUAAA